GAAACCUACCCUACGGUUAACCCACUCCACUCCUUCUCCCUCCCACCAGACACACACACCUGCCCAGCUCAACCUGAUUCGUUCUCCAGUUGAGGAAGCAUUUCAGCUUCACAUCCCUCUUCCAAGUUCCAAUUUGAUAUUUUCUAGAUCCAAAACCAUGAUAUUCUUUACAAUCCAAACGUCCUGACGCACAUCAACCCAACGAUCAAUUUUAUUCUAGGAAGAAACAAUGUCCCUUACGUUUCAAACCCUUUUCACGAACAAGAAUCCUAGGUCAUCUCAUACCACUCUUUCGCGAACCCAUUUCUUAAAAUCCUCCAAUUUCGCAUGUUUAAUCCCGAAUUCGAAAAUCCAUUUCCCAGAUUCCCAAAAUUUCCUUACCCACAAUCACCUUUUGUACAUUGAAAAAGUUAAAGCAUCAUUUCAAGAACCGUUUGAAACCGCACGGAAGCAAGAUAACAGUAACGGAGGCAUCGGUGGUGAGUAUAAUUUCGAUGCACUUCUUUCAGUUCUUGAAUUUCUUUGCCUUGCAUCGUCGGCUAUGAGUUCGAUAUACUUUGCGGUUAUCUAUGGUACGCAGAAGGGGGUUGUAGGGUGGCUUGGGAGCAAGAUUUUGGUAUGGCAGUGUGUGGUUUUGGUGAGUGGCGUAGUGGUCGGAGCCGUGAUAAGGCGGCGGCAAUGGAGGAGAAUUUGUGGGGUUGGAUUAUCGAGGGCUUCUUCUUCCGGGGUAAAUUUGUUGGAGAGGGUGGAGAAAGUGGAGGAGGCUGUGCGAAGCUCCUCGACAAUUAUUCGAGUUUUAUCGAGGCAGCUGGAGAAGCUUGGAAAUCGGUUUCGGGUCAACCGAAAGGCUCUCAAGGAGCCCGUUGCUGAGAGUGCAGCAUUGGCUCAGAAGAACUCUGAGGCCAUUCGAUCAUUAUCAGUGCACGGAGACAUUCUGGAGAAGGAGCUUAGUGAAAUUCAAAAGGUUCUGUUGGCUAUGCAGGAGUCCUGCUUCCACGGGAGGGGGCAGACGUUAAAUUAGAAAGAGCAAAAAGACACUAGCCUCAAUAUGGUACCUUUUCUUCUGAUUUUGACAGGCAGCAUGUGUUUUGACUUUGUUUCAUUAAUGCCUCAUAUUUUAUGCACAAUGACCUAGAGUAUUGGCAAGGACAUCUUAACAACGGCACAUGACAAUAUUACUCCGUCUUUCGUGGUUUGGAGGAAAAGAAUGAAAUUGAUAGUCCCCUUUGUCCUCUCUCAAAUCAUUGAAUCCAUACCAUGGAACUAACUAUAUUGGAUAGUUUUUUGAAAUAUUUUUGACAGGCGUAGCCCAUUCAAAGAUAUGGAUGGUUCUUCAUAAAAAUUGACAGGCCUAGUGAUUUGGUGACAAUUUGCCAGUAACCAGGGAGAGAGUUUCAUUUAGAGUCACAGUAAUGGACCCCAAUCUUCUUUUAUCUUGAUUAAUCUAACCAACAUUCUGGAAGGAGUUUUAUAGCGAGUUAUUACAAUUCAGAGAUGUCCUAUCAGAAGGAUUUGUGCUUUAAUGUUCUGUGGGAAAGCUCAUAGAGAUAUCACUUGUUACCUAAGAUAUAAACCUUCUAGCAAAGGGUCUGUCAAAUUUGUGCCUGCAGGAUCAGGACUUUUUGAUGUUUCUAUGCAGCUUCCCUUGGUAAUCUGUCAAAGCUAGCUCCUUUUUCAAUCUGCUCCUCGUGCAUUCAUUGGCACUAGUCAAAUGAGCAUAUUUCUCUUUGGCAUGUACAGUCGUUUGUUUAUCUAGUUCUUUCCUUUUUGUUCUUACUGGGAAAUGAUGCACUGUUUGAUGCUUUGAAAGUUGAAAAAUUCUUGUUCUGGCGUCUCAAACAAUCACUUACCUUGUUGAACAUGAGCAGCAGCAAAAACAGCUUGAACUCAUUCUUGCAAUCGGGAAAACCGGGAAGCUGCGGGAGAGUAAACGUGUAACAAAUCAAGAUCAGAAUGCGUUGGACGCCUCAAAUUUAGCAGUUGACGGAGCAUCAC